AGAAAAGGCAGACAGAAGAAGAUGACUAAGCAGACUUUCUGAGUCUUCCAGCCUUUCUCCUGUAUUGAAUGCUUUUUGCCUUGAACAUCAGACUCCAAGCUCUUCAGCUUUUGGACUCUUGGACUUACACCAGUGGUUUGCCAGGGACCCUCGGGCCUUUGGCCACAGACUGAAGGCUGCACUGUCAGUUUCCCUACUUUUGAGGUUUUGGGACUCAGACUGAUCUGCCACUGGCUUCCUUGGUCCUCAACUAGCAGACAGCCUAUCAUGGAACUUUACCUUGUGAUGGUGGAUAUGAACUUCCAAUUAUAUCAUUGGACUUGACUACUCCAUUUCUUUCCACAUUUAAAAAUCAAUCAGGGAGAAGCUAUUUUGAGAACUUAACACAGUAUUUAACAUGGGAUUUCUGAAUGAAGACAGUUUAUGGAUGAAUAAGGCACUCUCUCACCAAGUGAGUGGUUGGAGCAAGACAGUGUCUCGAGAUUGAAACAGAACACGAUGGAGCUGGAAGUUAUAGUUCUGAGAUCAUCAGGAAUCAGAGUCAAAUCAUUAACUAGUGAUUAUAUGCCACACAAGAAAUCCUCUCUGGGUUAGAAAUCUUAAAAUAAGAGGCUGUUAUAUACAUUUGUCGAGAUAAAAUUAUUGAUUAGUAUUUAUAAGACUUUGAUUUCAUAAACUUAAUAGACUACAUAUGCAACUUAGGAUAUAAUUCCAAAAAUCUAGCCACAGCACAUUUGUGUGUUUCAACAAAGUAAUGGCUUUUUUGUUAUUAGAAUAAAUAAAGUUACCUUGUGAGAAAUUGAUUGAUCUAACUACUUGUGAACAGGGGAAAGAAACGUUGUUAAUUAGAGGCCAUCUGUUGCAAAUGUGAUCUGGCCAGAAUUUUGUUUAACAUGUGGAACGCUUAUAAAUUAUCUGAGUUUGCACAUUUACCUUUAUUGCGGAGUCUCCCAGCCUACUCAUUAGAUCACCCGAAUGAGGUACACAGCAAACUCAUGUAACUAUCUAAAAUAAAAUUCCCCACAUUUAGGUGUUUGGAAUUAGCUAUGAAAUAAUAAAGUGUCUCUCAAUAAGAUAAAAUAUUUUUAUAACACUUUCUUAAAAACAUGGCCGGCUUUAAAGGAAGGGAGAGUUCAGUUUUUAAAUUAAAGUAGGUGUUAAAUUGACCUAAGGUACCUUGCAGACAUUUAGCCCAGCUUCCUCCCUGGCAGAGGAAGAAUUACCACCUAGAGAAAAGCACUAAACUGGCAAAAACAGAGCCCAGUCUUCGAACUUGCAGGCCAAUUUCCUUUGCAUAUACCAUGCUACCUAAUGAUCGAGAUACUCUAGAGUAAUUCUGAAUCCUGACCUCUAGAGUUGAGAGCAAUCAGUGGACAAGUAAGACAUGGCACUAUGGUGCAAAGAACCCCCACUUCAUCACAUACAAAAUUCAUCACAUUGGGCAACACACAAUAAUGGGACUUGAAGUAAGCUAACAAUACGUUAUCUUCUUCAGAGAGAGUUAAAAUUUAAUUUGAAUUAAGUAGAAAAUUAGAGACAGUGCAAAAGCAUUCAAAAUUAGCAUUUGCUUAUCUUAAACAACUCUUAAAAUUAAGUAAUUUUGUUAGUUCAGCUAUUUUAAAAUAUCAAUAAUCCAGCUAAAAGUUUUACUAGCUGUUAGCAGACAAAAACUAAGGGAGCUUUAAAAAAACACUGUCUGCUUUUAUAAUUAUUAUCCAUUACUGAAAUCUUCUAGAGGAGAGAUGAGGGCUGGAGAGUAGGCUGCGUUUAGGAAAUAUUACAGAGGCAGAAAUGAGGAUUUCAGGGCAGCUACAUGCAGCACCUGAAGAUCCCCUGAGGCAGCCUGUCUAAGUUGACUGCUAUUUAGAGUGCAGCCCAGAGAGUUUCAGAUUUCAGGUUGCUACCCAUCCAUGGGAUAGGAAACCAAUUCAACGGGUCACAACCAGUAUUUUAAAAUGAAAAAGACUAGAAAAUAGGAAAAAUAAAUCACAAAUACUAAGGGACAAGGUGUUUUGAGAAACAUUUGGUUCAGUUGUACAUACGUACAUGUAAUGUUUAUAUGUGUUUCUUACAGUGAGAAACCAUCAGCAAAGUUUGAAAAACAUGUAUAGACAUUAACUUAAGUAGAAAUGAAGGGUGGAAAGAUAAGGAGUCUAAUUAAAUUGAAAUUUCUCUUUGAGAUGCCAGGGAGACAUUCAAGUGGAUUUAUUUUCCCUUUUAUACUGGAUGCCAAGUGCAGAAAAUGGAGUUAAUUCUCUUCCUUGGUUCAUAGCACAUAAUCAUUACUGUCCUUGGGAGAAUUUUUAAGUUAUGUUUCAUUUCUAAUUGGCAAAUAAUAAUUGAAUAAUUUUAUGAGACAAUAUGUGAUGUUUUGAUGUAUUGUUGUGGAUACAUUGUCAAUAUGCUGUGCAAUGAAACACCAGAAUUUAUUCCUUCUAACUGAAACUUUAUACCAAUUGACCAUUUCCCCCUUCCCCAUCCACUUACCUACCCCACAACCUCUGGUAACCACAAUUCUAUUUUCUAUUUCCAAGAGUUUGACUUUUUUAGACUCCACUUAGAAGUGAGAUCAUACAGUAUUUGUUUCUCUGUGCUUGACUUAUUUCACUUAACAUAAAUGUUAAGUGCAAAUGACAUAUUUUCCUGUUUCUUUUAAGGCUGAAUAGUAUUCCAUUAUGUAUAUCUUGCCACUUUUAAAAAAAUCCAUUGAUUUUUAUCUAAUGAUAGACACAGGUUGUUGCCAUGAAUUGGCUAUUGUGAAUAGUGCUGCAAUGAACUUGGGAGUAUCGACAUCACUUCAACAUACUGAUUUGAAUUCUUUUGGGUAUAUAUUUUGUAGCGGAAUUGUUGGAUCACAUGGUAAUUCUAUUUUUUGUUAUUUAAUAAAGAUUCAUGCUGUUUCCCAAAAUGGCUGCACUAAAUUACAAUACCACCAAGAGGGCAUAACUGUGCCCAUUUCUCAGCAUCAUCACCAACACUAGCCAUCUUUCAUCUUUUUGAUAAUUGCCAAACUAACAGGUGUGAGGUGAUAUAUCUUUGUGACUUUAAUUUGCUUUCUCUGAUGAUUAGAGAUGUUGAACAUUUUCAUAUAACUAUUGGCAAUUUGUGUGUCUUCUUUUAAGAAAUGUCUAUUUGAGUUCUUUGCCCGUUUUUAAUAGGAUUGUUUUGGAUUAGUUUGAGUUUCUUGUAUAUUUUGUAAAAGAGCCCAUUAUCUGAUGUAUAAUUUUUAUACUUUUCUUAAUCUGUGCAUUUUCUCUUGACACAAUUGUGUCCUUUUGUGCAGAAGCUUUUUAGUUUGAUGGAAUCAUGUUUGUCUAUUUAUGCUUUUGUUUCCUGUGCUUUUGGGAUUACACACAAGAAAUUAUUGUCCAGACCAAUACCAUGGAGAUUUCCCCCUGUGCUUUCUUCUAGUAUCUGUAGUAUAGAUUCAGGAAUUGCAUUUAAAUAUUUAAUCCAUUUUCCUUCUGUACAUGUAUAUCUGGUUUUCCCAACACCAUUUUUAAAGACACUGUGCAUUGUAUAUUAUUGGCACCUUUGUCAAAAAUCAAUUGACUCUGAUGUCUGGGUUUAUUUCCAGGCUAUCCAUCCUAUUCCACUGGUCAAUGUGUCUGUCUGUUUUUAUGCCAGUACCAUAAUGUUUUGAUUACUAUAGCUUCAUAAUAUAUUUUGCAGUCAAUUUGUGUGAUGUCUCAGCUUUGUUCUUUGGUCAAGAUUCAGAAGAUUUAACCAAAAGAGAAAAGAAGAAUUGAAACCAAUACACAAAUGUUAUAGUCAGCUAGAUAAUAAUUAAAGAUAAAUAAAUUUCCAUAGGAACUUAUUAAAGUAUUAGCUUUACUAAUUUUCCUCAAUACCUCACCUAGUAUUGGUAUCCUAAUUCUUACAGUUUUUAGAGUAUACUUUUACCAACAUCUAUGUUGUAUAGUUUCUUAGGGGAAAAUAUGUAUUACUGAGUUAUCAGUAUUGCAAGAGGCCAGCAAAUUGCUGCUAUGGGUCGAGCACAUUAUAUACAUUACCUGAAAAGCAUGGCUAAAGACCAGACAGGAAUUAUUUCUUCUGAUUAACAGGUGAGAAAACCAUCACUUGGAGAAGUUAUGGUAAUUUUCUCAAGCUUUCUUAAAAGACCGGAUACAGAAUCAAGUCUUUCUGUCUUUCAGAAUUAGACAUUUGCUUGCAUGCAAAUCCAGAGAUUUAUGCAAAGGUCCAGAGAAGUUACUAUCAAAACUAUGGAAAAUCAAUUUCUCAUGGUGUUAUAAUUCAUUAAUUUAUUCAAAUAAAGCUUCCAGUGGAUUAAUUUUUGGUCCUUUUUAAAAAACUCUAAAUCCAUGGUAGAACACUAAGGCUAGAUUUAUAUAGUUUAUUAAUAAACUCCUACAUGGGGAUUACUAGGUAUUAUUAAGUGCUCUCUGUACUUUAGAAAUAUUCACUCAUAUAAUCUCCAUAACACUUUUAUGACAUAGAUAUUAUUAUUAUCAUCUCUGUUUGACGGAAGCACAGAGAAGUUUGGUAAUUUAUCUGUGAUUACACAGCUUGUAAAUGGCAGAGUUGAGUGUUGAACCUAGGCAAUCUUGUUGAGGUCAAUGCUAUUUAUCAUUCACUAUUCCAUCUCAUGAAUUCAUCUGGCAAAUUUCAAGGUGAUUAUGAAGGGUCACCAAAUAUAUAUAUUCCUUAAUAUAUUGGUGAAAAAGUAAUUGUGAUUUUUUUCUAUUAAAGGUAAUGGCAAAAACUGCAAUUACUUUGGCAUCAACCUAUAGCUUUCUCUUGUAUGUGAAACUAUUCUUUUGCCUUAUGUUUGGUUUCAGACACUAAAAGCAACUAAUGUUGACACUUAAAUACCACUUGUGUCAUUUCCCAAAUUUGUUCUGAGAAACUGCAGUCCCUGAAAAUACACAGUGAUAUGGUUUGGCUCUGUGUACCCACUCAAAUCUCACCUUGAAUUGUAAUAAUCCCCACCUGUCAUGGGAGGGAUCCGAUGGGAGGUAACUGAAUCAUGGGUCUGGGUGGGUCUUUCCCAUGCUGUUCUCCUGAUAGUGAAUAAGUCUCACCGGAUCUGAUGGUUUUAUAAGGCGUCAUUCCCCUGCACAAGUUCUCUCUUGCUUGUGGCCAUGUAAGAUGUUCCCUGCUCUUCCAUCAUGAUUGUGAGGCCUCCCCAGCCCUGUGGAACUGUGAGCCAAUUAAACCUCUUUCUUUUAAAAAUUACCCAGUCUUGGGUAUGUCUUUAUUAGCAGCGUGAAAACAGAAUAAUACAUACAGCAAAUUAAUAUUUCCCUAGUUAUACCAAUGUGAGUAAUGCUACAACAUAUACUACACUCUUGGAAACUCACAAUGCAAAAGUUUUACAAAAAA
rnacentral:lncRNA from 1 species